GAAGCAACGCGAAGAACCUUACCAGGUCUUGACAUCCUUAUGACCUCCCUAGAGAUAGGGAUUUCCCUUCGGGGACAUAAGUGACAGGUGGUGCAUGGUUGUCGUCAGCUCGUGUCGUGAGAUGUUGGGUUAAGUCCCGCAACGAGCGCAACCCUUGAUCUUAGUUGCCAGCAUUUAGUUGGGCACUCUAAGGUGACUGCCGGUGAUAAACCGGAGGAAGGUGGGGACGACGUCAAAUCAUCAUGCCCCUUAUGACCUGGGCUACACACGUGCUACAAUGGAUGGUACAAAGAGCAGCAAAACCGCGAGGUCGAGCCAAUCUCAUAAAGCCAUUCUCAGUUCGGAUUGUAGGCCGCAACUCGCCUACAUGAAGCCGGAAUUGCUAGUAAUCGCGGAUCAGCAUGCCGCGGUGAAUACGUUCCCGGGCCUUGUACACACCGCCCGUCACACCACGAGAGUUUGUAACACCCGAAGUCGGUGGGGUAACCCUUACGGGAGCUAGCCGCCUAAGGUGGG
rnacentral:rRNA from 1 species